rnacentral:sRNA from 1 species
GUUGUUUUUUUGGUUUUUUUUU